rnacentral:rRNA from 1 species
CAGGCCUAACACAUGCAAGUCGAGCGGUAGAGAAGAAGCUUGCUUCUUCUUGAGAGCGGCGGACGGGUGAGUAAUGCCUAGGAAUCUGCCUGGUAGUGGGGGACAACGUUUCGAAAGGAACGCUAAUACCGCGUACGUCCUACGGGAGAAAGUGGGGGAUCUUCGGACCUCACGCUAUCAGAUGAGCCUAGGUCGGAUUAGCUUGUAGGUGAGGUAAUGGCUCACCUAGGCAACGAUCCGUAACUGGUCUGAGAGGAUGAUCAGUCACACUGGAACUGAGACACGGUCCAGACUCCUACGGGAGGCAGCAGUGGGGAAUAUUGGACAAUGGGCGAAAGCCUGAUCCAGCCAUGCCGCGUGUGUGAAGAAGGUCUUCGGAUUGUAAAGCACUUUAAGUUGGGAGGAAGGGUUGUAGCUUAAUACGCUGCAACUUUGACGUUACCAACAGAAUAAGCACCGGCUAACUCUGUGCCAGCAGCCGCGGUAAUACAGAGGGUGCAAGCGUUAAUCGGAAUUACUGGGCGUAAAGCGCGCGUAGGCGGCUUGAUAAGAUGGGUGUGAAAUCCCCGGGCUUAACCUGGGAACUGCAUCCAUAACUGUCUGGCUAGAGUACAGUAGAGGGUGGUGGAAUUUCCUGUGUAGCGGUGAAAUGCGU